UACCAGCACCCCGAGUGGUCGGGACGAUUAUUGGGCCUAAAGCAUCCGUAGCCGGUUCUGCAAGUCCCCCGUUAAAUCCAGCUGCUCAACAGAUGGGCCGCGGAGGAUACUACAGAGCUAGGAGGCAGGAGAGGCAAGCGGUACUCAGUGGGUAGGGGUAAAAUCCGUUGAUCCAUUGAAGACCACCAGUGGCGAAGGCGAGUCUCUGGACGACACCUGACACUGAGGAGCGAAAGCAUGGGGAGCGAACAGG
rnacentral:rRNA from 1 species